AGUGGCAAGAAGUUUGCUGAGAUUCCAGAGGAAGUGAUCCGAGGAGCAGUUACUUCAAAAGUGAAUACAAUAGACUUGAGCAAGAAUUUGUUGACACAGCUACCUCAUGGGAUGGUUGAACUAAGUGGAUCUCUUUCUGAUCUCAACAUGGGAUUCAACAGACUGGCCACUUUGUCUGACGAUGUGUCAUGUUUUGUAAAACUUCAGUUUCUUGACUUGAGAAACAACCAACUAAGAGAC